UACGUAGGGAGCGAGCGUUAUCCGGAAUUAUUGGGCGUAAAGGGAGCGUAGGUGGCGUGCCAAGUCAGGAGUGAAAACCCAGGGCCCAACUCUGGGACUGCUCUUGAAACUGGCAGGCUUGAGUGCUGGAGAGGUAAGCGGAAUUCCUAGUGUAGCGGUGAAAUGCGUAGAUAUUAGGAGGAACACCAGUGGCGAAGGCGGCUUACUGGACUGUAACUGACGUUGAGGCUCGAAAGCGUGGGGAGCAAACAGG
rnacentral:rRNA from 1 species